rnacentral:pre_miRNA from 1 species
AGGACGAACAACCCCAGAGGCCGGGGCAGCUCUGGAGCCCUGGAGUCAGCUCCCGCUGUAGCUACAGAGCUCUCCGUCUGCAGGGCCUGGAGGCUCCGGGGCGGG